UGGGCCAUAGUAUAUCGGCUAACACGUCAGAUUUUGGUUCUGAAGAGCCAGGUUCGAUUCCUGGUGGCCCAA
rnacentral:tRNA from 1 species